GACGAACGCUGGCGGCGUGCUUAACACAUGCAAGUCGAACGGAAAGGCCCUGCUUUUGUGGGGUGCUCGAGUGGCGAACGGGUGAGUAACACGUGAGUAACCUGCCCUUGACUUUGGGAUAACUUCAGGAAACUGGGGCUAAUACCGGAUAGGAGCUCCUGCUGCAUGGUGGGGGUUGGAAAGUUUCGGCGGUUGGGGAUGGACUCGCGGCUUAUCAGCUUGUUGGUGGGGUAGUGGCUUACCAAGGCUUUGACGGGUAGCCGGCCUGAGAGGGUGACCGGCCACAUUGGGACUGAGAUACGGCCCAGACUCCUACGGGAGGCAGCAGUGGGGAAUAUUGCACAAUGGGCGGAAGCCUGAUGCAGCAACGCCGCGUGCGGGAUGACGGCCUUCGGGUUGUAAACCGCUUUCGCCCGUGACGAAGCGUGAGUGACGGUAAUGGGUAAAGAAGCACCGGCUAACUACGUGCCAGCAGCCGCGGUGAUACGUAGGGUGCGAGCGUUGUCCGGAUUUAUUGGGCGUAAAGGGCUCGUAGGUGGUUGAUCGCGUCGGAAGUGUAAUCUUGGGGCUUAACCCUGAGCGUGCUUUCGAUACGGGUUGACUUGAGGAAGGUAGGGGAGAAUGGAAUUCCUGGUGGAGCGGUGGAAUGCGCAGAUAUCAGGAGGAACACCAGUGGCGAAGGCGGUUCUCUGGGCCUUUCCUGACGCUGAGGAGCGAAAGCGUGGGGAGCGAACAGGCUUAGAUACCCUGGUAGUCCACGCUGUAAACGGUGGGUACUAGGUGUGGGGUCCAUUCCACGGGUUCCGUGCCGUAGCUAACGCUUUAAGUACCCCGCCUGGGGAGUACGGCCGCAAGGCUAAAACUCAAAGGAAUUGACGGGGCCCCGCACAAGCGGCGGAGCAUGCGGAUUAGUUCGAUGCAACGCGUAGAACCUUACCUGGGUUUGACAUGGAUCGGGAGUGCUCAGAGAUGGGUGUGCCUCUUUUGGGGUCGGUUCACAGGUGGUGCAUGGCUGUCGUCAGCUCGUGUCGUGAGAUGUUGGGUUAAGUCCCGCAACGAGCGCAACCCUUGUUCACUGUUGCCAGCACGUUAUGGUGGGGACUCAGUGGAGACCGCCGGGGUCAACUCGGAGGAAGGUGGGGAUGACGUCAAGUCAUCAUGCCCCUUAUGUCCAGGGCUUCACGCAUGCUACAAUGGCUGGUACAGAGAGUGGCGAGCCUGUGAGGGUGAGCGAAUCUCGGAAAGCCGGUCUCAGUUCGGAUUGGGGUCUGCAACUCGACCUCAUGAAGUCGGAGUCGCUAGUAAUCGCAGAUCAGCAACGCUGCGGUGAAUACGUUCCCGGG
rnacentral:rRNA from 1 species